ACAUCUAAGUACCCCGAGGAAAAGAAAUCAACCGAGAUUCCCUCAGUAGCGGCGAGCGAACGGGGAUUAGCCCUUAAGCAUCUUGGAAGUUAGUGGAACGGUCCUGGAAAGGCCGGCGAUACAGGGUGAUAGCCCCGUACACGAAAACAACCUUGAUGUGAAAUCGAGUAGGGCGGGACACGUGACAUCCUGUCUGAAUAUGGGGGGACCAUCCUCCAAGGCUAAAUACUCCUGACUGACCGAUAGUGAACCAGUACCGUGAGGGAAAGGCGAAAAGAACCCCUGUGAGGGGAGUGAAAUAGAACCUGAAACCGUGUACGUACAAGCAGUGGGAGCCCUUCGGGGUGACUGCGUACCUUUUGUAUAAUGGGUCAGCGACUUACAUUUUGUAGCGAGGUUAACCGUAUAGGGGAGCCGUAGGGAAACCGAGUCUUAACUGGGCGUCUAGUUGCAAGGUGUAGACCCGAAACCGGGUGAUCUAGCCAUGGGCAGGUUGAAGGUUGAGUAACAUCAACUGGAGGACCGAACCCACUAACGUUGCAAAGUUAGGGGAUGACCUGUGGCUGGGGGUGAAAGGCCAAUCAAACUCGGAGAUAGCUGGUUCUCCCCGAAAGCUAUUUAGGUAGCGCCUCGGACGAAUACUACUGGGGGUAGAGCACUGUUUGGGCUAGGGGGUCAUCCCGACUUACCAACCCCAUGCAAACUCCGAAUACCAGUAAGUAAUAUCCGGGAGACACACGGCGGGUGCUAACGUCCGUCGUGAAGAGGGAAACAACCCAGACCGCCGGCUAAGGUCCCAAAGUUCUGGUUAAGUGGGAAACGAUGUGGGAAGGCUCAGACAGCUAGGAUGUUGGCUUAGAAGCAGCCAUCAUUUAAAGAAAGCGUAAUAGCUCACUAGUCGAGUCGGCCUGCGCGGAAGAUGUAACGGGGCUCAAACCAGGCACCGAAGCCGCGGAUUCACGCUAAGCGUGAGUGGUAGGGGAGCGU
rnacentral:rRNA from 1 species